GGCUCAGUGGUGGAUGGUCCACACCUGCUUCUAAUAUCUGAUUUGUAAUUGCCCAGUGGGGGAAGCCUGUUCGAAUCAGGCCUGAGCCA